AUUGAACGCUGGCGGCAGGCCUAACACAUGCAAGUCGAACGAGUGGCGGACGGGUGAGUAAUGUCUGGGAAACUGCCUGAUGGAGGGGGAUAACUACUGGACACGGUAGCUAAUACCGCAUACCAUCGGAUGUGCCCAGAUGGGAUUAGCUAGUAGGUGGGGUAAAGGCUCACCUAGGCCACGAUCCCUCGCGGGUCUGAGGGGAUGACCAGCCACACGGGAACUGAGACACGGGCCAGACCCCUACGGGAGGCAGCAGGGGGGAAUAUGGCACAAUGGGCGCAGGCCUGAUGCAGCCAUGCCGCGUGUAUGAAGAAGGCCUUCGGGUUGUAAAGUACUUUCAGCGGGGAGGCGUUACCCGCAGAAGAAGCACCGGCUAACUCCGUGCCAGCAGCCGCGUAAUUC
rnacentral:rRNA from 1 species